rnacentral:rRNA from 1 species
GAUGAACGCUGGCGGCGUGCCUAAUACAUGCAAGUCGAGCGAACAGACGGGAACCUUGCUUCCCUGAUGUUUGCGGCGCGCGUGUGUGUAACACGUGGAUACUCUCCCUAUACGACUGGGAUCACUUCGAGAAACCAGAUCUAAUCCCAUAUCAUCUGUUGUACCACAUUGAUCAAUAGUAAAAGACGGCUUCUCUGUUACUUAAUGAUGCUUCCUCGCGUCAUUAGCUAGUUGGUAAGGUAACGGCUUACGAAGGCAAUGAAUCGUAGCCGACCUGAGAGGGUGAUCGGCAACACUGGAACGGAGAAACGGUCCAGACUCCUACGGGAGGCAGCAGUAGGGAAUCUUGGGCAAUGGGCGAAAGCCUGACGGAGCAAGGCCGCGUGAGUGAUGAAGGUCUUCGGAUGGUAAAACUCUGUGAUUAGGGAAGAAGAGAGGUGGAAGUAAAUGUGCACAUCUUGACGGUACCUAAUCAGAAAGACACGGCUAACUACGUG